UAGGCAUUAAGGACAAAUUUUAUUUUAUGAUUUUCAUUUCGGUGAGUCACAAGAUAUUCAACACAAAAUGAAACUUCACAAAAUUUCACAAAAUGAAAAAUUCAUUUCAGAUUCAAUAUCCACCUCCAUCAUCCAUAUUCAUUCUUCCAAUGUCUCAGGCCAGAAAUUUGGAGUAUGUGGCUUCUCCACCUCACACAAUUUGCCCUAACUUUAAUAUAUACUCAGAAAUUACUGGCUUUUCACUGUUUCUAUGAUUCCCAUGUGUAAUAUACAAUACUCACCAUGCAUACAAUAAUACAAUAAUUCUGUGUCACAACCACACCUAAAUUGGUAAGUUUAUAAGGUUAUAAGCUGAGAGGUUUUGCUGAUCUUGGCUGAGCUCAGCUGGGCAGGUCUUCCGGUCUUGGCUGGGGUUCACUGACACACAAGCAGCUGACAGUUGGCUGAUCUAGGAUGGCCUCAGCUGGGAUGACAGGCUGUUUCCUCACCUUCCAGCAGGCAAGCCAGUCCCAAGAAAGAGAAGGGUGAAACAUGGAGGCCAUUAAUUGAGCCCAUCGCAUGAAACGCAUCUGUGACACCAUCACCGUCUGAUAUCAACUCUCACCUGGAUGUUUGCAAUCGCCUAACUUUUCUCCUUUCAUUCACUAUGCUGCCUUACAAACCUAUUCUCCACAAAUCAGCUAGAGCAAACCUUUUAAAUCCUAAGUAGAAUGCUACCAUUCCUCUGCUCAAACUACUGGAGAGGAGAUGCCACAGUCUUUACUAUGGUCUUCAAGACCCUAUGGGAGGUAGCCCUGUCUUACAACCAUAGCCUCCUACCACUGCCCCAACAUGCACACUGAGUUCCGGCCACAGCAUCUGCUUCCUCUUUAUUGAUCUGCCAAGGACAUGAAUGACUCAGAAUCUCAAACUUAUUCUUCCCUCAGAAUCCACUGAGCCUACUCCCUCUUUUUCUCAAAUGGCAACUUCUCAGAGAUGCCUUCUCUGGCUAACGUAUAUGUACUAAAACCUCCAUCCAGCACUCUAUGUCAUCCUUACUAUGGUUUAUUUUUCUUCAUAGCACCUAUCAAUUGGUGAAGUAUUAAAUAUGCAUUUUUGUUUGUAUGCAUCUCUCUCCCCGCACCAGUAUGUGAACUCCACCAGACUGGAGAGCGUGUUUAUUUUGUUCACUGCUGUAACUCCAGUGUCUAGAACAGUGCCUGGCACACAGUAGGUGUUUAAUAAUGAUUUGUUAAGCUAAGCCAAUGAAUAAAUAUUCUUUUGCCCAUGAGAUGAUGUUAAAAAUUUUUCAAUUAUUCAUAACUGCCUGUAAGGAAUGAAUGUUAGUGAAUUACUGUGAUACCAAUGAAAGUUAAAUGAUGCAAUGAAGAUUGGGUGGAUCACAAGGUCAGGAGUUU
rnacentral:lncRNA from 1 species